GAUUCCAUUUUCUGUUCGGAUUCCAGCAUGAAAACACGUUCAGCAUCAUCAAAGUCUUCAUUUAAAAAAAGUGAACAUUUGCACCAGGUGAGACUUGAGCGCGAGGGCUUCACCUGCGGAGCACGUGGAGAUGGAGCCUGAACACCUCGCAGGUUCAGAGACUCACAGACCGGGAUCUGAUGGAGAAAACAGCGGAACCGAGCCGGCUGCAGAUGAUAUGGACGGUUUCCGGUCAUUUCGGGAUUUUCCCAAUCAUGUUAGAGAUCCAGGAAUAUCUUGGAAAAUGGUUUGAAUGUGGAACAAAGUGGAUGUUCAGGAUGUUUUCAACUGUUUUUGGAAGGAGCCUCAUCAUCACCACAAAGACUCUGUUUCUGAUUCCUAAAAGUUCUCCUCCUGGACUGAGACAGAACCGGAAUACCUCUCAGGGAUGAACUUCUCCGGCUCGGGCCAGUAUUCCGGGUCGUAAUGGAGGAAGCCUGCAGGAAUCUCCAGCGUUGCUCCUUUUGGGAGGCGCAGGCCGUUGACCACACAGUCCUCCUCCACUUCUCUAGCGAACCUGGAUGGGAGGUUCAGCACAGCUCCAUGACUCUGUGAACCCAGCACCUCCUUCUGACCACAUCAGCUCACCUGAAUCCAGGAGGGUAGAGCCGCAGCGUCUCGGAUACGACCAUGUCCAUGUACUUCAGCUCCUGGACGUUGGUGUAAUCAGGUGACUCCUGCAAAUACAAGAGGGCGGAGUUACAAUAUGAAAGCAUGAGAGACUAGUAGAGGAGCAGAAGACGACAACUCACAUGUCUGCUGAAGAAGUCAUCCACCUCCUGCUGAACUCGGCGGUGACACUCGGGGUGGGUGGCCAGCAGGUAGCAGGUGAAGCCCAGAGUGCUGCUGGUGGUUUCGUAGCCCGCCAGGAGGAAGAUGAAAGCCUGCCCCACGAUUUCAUCCUCGGUCAUCAUCUUCUUCUGCGGACGUCUGAGCGCCGACUCCUCCGAGUGGCUGUUGUCUUGAUCCGACGGUUUGGAGCUCGCCACCGCCUCGUCUCCGUGGUUCGAGGUGUCGAACUGGUCCAGAGACGCACACUCUUUGCCCGUUCGAGCGUCCAGCAUCAGCUGCAGGAAGUCUCUGCGCCUCUGCCAAAAUAAAACCCAAACGCUGGAGUUUUACCGUCGUCCCGGACAGGAAGAGUGAAGGGAAAGUCACCUGGUCUGGAGGCUGCUCUUCUCUCUGCUUGAUGAUCUUCUGGAUGCUGUGGAUGAAGAAAUUACUCAUCUGGUCUCGUCGUUUGUUUGGGAUGAAUCGCGCCAGAGGAGCCAUGAUGGACGGGAAAGCAACUGCAGACAGGAAACCGGCGCUGCUUUUACCUCCGAGCGCUCGCGUUCUGACGUAAACCUGCUCAGGGACUUACUGAAAAACAUCAUCAUGGGCCUGAAGAAGGAAAAGGUGAAGAACAUUUGGGCGUGGUGGACGAACGGGUCGUCGGGUUUGUUCUGGGAGUCCACCUGGGUAGCGAAGGCCACGCUGGCGAUCACGUCCAUGGUGAAAAAGCCAAAACACCUGCAGAGGCGCACAAACGGGACGCGUCACGCCCGAACAGAACGUCUUAACUCCGCCCUUUUCAUGAUUACCUGUGGAUGUCGAAAGCCUGGCCGGACUCGGCGUGGGUGUUCAGGUUCUUCAUCAGAACUUCUGUUACCGUGUUGAUGAGCGGAACCAUCUGGAAAUAAAAGGUUAUUACAUUAGCGUUGUUUUAAUUCAGAUUAGAGGCACUUAGAAAAUAAACUAAAGGACAUCUGCUGACACCAGGAGGCCGUGUUCGCUCUAGACUUCCUCCAAAAUGCACAGAUUGAACAAAACUUUGAUAAACAGA